rnacentral:rRNA from 1 species
AGCGAACGCUGGCGGCAGGCCUAACACAUGCAAGUCGAACGAACUCUUCGGAGUUAGUGGCGGACGGGUGAGUAACACGUGGGAACGUGCCUUUUGGUUCGGAAUAACUCAGGGAAACUUGUGCUAAUACCGAAUGUGUCCUUCGGGGGAAAGAUUUAUCGCCAUUAGAGCGGCCCGCGUCUGAUUAGCUAGUUGGUGAGGUAACGGCGCAUCAAGGCGACGAUCAGUAGCUGGUCUGAGAGGAUGACCAGCCACACUGGGACUGAGACACGGCCCAGACUCCUACGGGAGGCAGCAGUGGGGAAUCUUGCGCAUUGGGCGGAAGCCUGACGCAGCCAUGCCGCGUGAAUGAUGAAGGUCUUAGGAUUGUAAAAUUCUUUCACCGGGGACGAUAAUGACGGUACCCAGAGAAGAAGCCCCGGCUAACUUCGUG